UUGGGGAAAAUGUGGGAAAUUUCGUGUCAAGUUUCGGGACGAAACUUCUUUUAAGAGGGGUAGAUUGUAAUCCCCCGUAAAUUUAUAAAUUUUAUUAAUAUAUUUUAACGUAUAUUAUUUAUAUUUAAAUAGAAUUUAUGAACUUUAGUAAUAAAUAUAUAAUUAACGUAUAUUUAUUUAUUACAUUUUAAUAUUUUCAACGAUUUACGAAAUCGAAAAUGAUUUUAGAAUUUUAAGUUAAAACGAAUUUGAAUUAUGAAAUUCCGUUCGAUUGAAAUUAGGAAACAAUCCUAAGCAGUGUUGAAUUCAAAUUCUAAAACUAAAUACUAAUCCUAGCCCAAUUAGAUUCCUAGCCCAUAAAAUAUCUAAGCCCCAACUAACCCCAAAAGUUUACUCACUAUUGUUUUCUCUCUCCUCUCAAACCCUCAUGAAGUCUCACGUAUUGCUCUCUCCUUUCACGUGAAACUCUCAAAGCACACAAACUCACAAACCCUCUCAUCCCUCUCCAGCCACCGCACCAGCCGCCGCACCAGCUGCCGCGCCACCGUCGCCCUUCGACGUCCGCACCACCACCCGCAGCACCGCUUGCACCGCCGCUGCGGCCCUGCCCAGUCGAUCUCCCUCCUUCCUCCUUCCUUGGCUCGCACGAGAUUGCAGCCACCUUCAACGUUCCUGCUUCUUGCUUGCUCAAUCACCCGCGACCACCAACACUAAUCGCGCCGCCCAGUCGCGUCGCCGCCCAGCCUGCGCCACCGCUGUCGUGCCCCUGCUCGCCGGCAGUCUCUCUCCUCCUCUCCUUUUGGAGGAGAAUUCUCUUUAGACGACUUUUGAAAGUAUUAAGGUGGCCUAUCAGUUUGUUUACACAAGUCUCUAAGGAUCAAUAAGCGUUGCCCAUCUACAGGUUUGAAGAUGAUGCAUCAUUGGGAUCGGGAUUAGAGAGCUUGUAGUUCUAUUUGUUUAGUUAAGUGAUUCAAUUUGUUAACUUGGAUUUGAAACUUGUCGUACUAUUCGUAUUUCCUUAUUUUCGUUUAUUGGUUUUUGGGAUUAAACCUGUAAUCAAUUACUUAUAAACCUCAAAUUAGUUUUAUGUUUUCCGCUGCAAAAUUCUGAAUAAGCCGUUACGUUUUCACACGGGCGAUAAUGCCUUGAUAAUUCUCUAUAUUUUAUAUUAA